GCACCACAAGGGGUGAAGCCUGCGGUUCAAUUGGAGUCAACGCCGGGAAACUUACCAGGGCUGACAGCAGGGUGAAGGCCAGACUAAAGCUCUUGCCAGACAAGCUGAGAGGAGGUGCAUGGCCGUCGCCAGUUCGUGCCGUGAGGUGUCCUGUUAAGUCAGGCAACGAACGAGACCCCCAUCAUUAGUUACCAGCGGGUUCCUGAGGAAUGCCGGGCACACUAAUGGAACUGCCGUCGAUAAGACGGAGGAAGGAGGGGGCUACGGCAGGUCAGUAUGCCCCGAAUGCCCUGGGCCACACGCGGGCUGCAAUGGUAGGUACAGAGGGUCCCAACCCUUAAAGGGGAAGGUAAUCCCUAAACCCUAUCUCAGUCGGGAUUGAGGGCUGAAACUCGCCCUCAUGAACAUGGAAUCCCUAGUAACCGCAUGUCAUCAUCGUGCGGUGAAUACGUCCCCGCUCCUUGCACACACCGCCCGUCGCUCCAUCCAAAUCGGGUCUAGAUGAGGCGUGGUCAAUUUUGGCCGUGUCGAAUCUGGGUUCGGUGAGGGGGGAGG
rnacentral:rRNA from 1 species